GUUAAACUGUCAACCCUGAUUAGAUCAUCCGAGUCGUGUUCAACUCAAACAGUCCUGUGACUCCUCACUAGGACUACCCUAGCCAAGGUUUUGUUAAAUUAAAAUAUGACUGUACACAGCUCCUGAACUAAAGUGGUCAAUCCCAUCUUGACACACGCACCGACAAGUCAAGUACUUGACUACACCCAGCAGCCUUCCAUCGCUGAAUUAGAAAUUCAGGUAGUCCAGUGCCUAAGUGCAGUGAGUUGCUUGCAAGUCACCAUGGCGGUCU
rnacentral:lncRNA from 1 species